CGGGUGCGCGCGCGCGCGCGCGCGGUGGUGCGCCGCUCUUCCAAGGUCGUCGGUACCGCCCUCCCCGCGAAGCCGGGCGCCGGCGUUGACCUCUUAACAAAGAACAGGGACCUAAGCGAUGGAUGUUUUGGAAGGGCUCCGUGUUCCCUUUGGGAAGCGGAGAGAGAGAAGGCAGCCCUUCAAAGGGAAGAUGCGUUCAAAACCAGCCAGUCUCCGUGAUGAAAGCACCCCCAGAGGGGGCAGACGGCAGGGGAGGGCCGGCGGAACAGCGAGCUCUCUCUCUCUCUGGUGCCUUUGUGCCCGCAGCAGAGGGCAGCGAGCCCCGCUGGUGGGCUGUGCUCUGGGCCCAGGAUCGGAAUUUGAAGCCGGUUGACAGCAUCGCUGACGCAGGAGACCUCUCCUUUCCCCUCCUCCAGGAUUUGCCGAAGCGACAGAGUGGGCAUUGACGAGGCAGAGGGGGAGAGGAAGAGACCCCUUCCCUGUGCGGGGGAGCCAG